rnacentral:lncRNA from 1 species
GUGUAAUUAUUGUAGUUUGAGAUUAAAUUAGAUAGUAGUAUAAUUUAGGAGUUAGUUAUGGGAGAAAAUAAAUAAUUAGAGGUUUUGGACUUAUUUAUGAGAGAAAGAGGUAGAGAGAGAAGUUAAAAAGAAGGGUUUUGGUGAAAGUUGAAGAGAAAGAAGAGAUGAGGAAUGCAAUCUCGUUUUCAACACAGCAGCCUCACAAAAACUUCGAUUCCCGAUUCGUUAACCGUUGGAUUUCCUUGAAAUUUUGAGGGUAGGUUCACAACAUCCGAGACCAACUUUUGACCGUUCGGAUCGUUGAAACAAGGUCUGAGGAGGAAGAAAUCGAGUUCGGAUUGCACCAGAUGUGUUGGGGAGAAAAAGAGGGAAAAAGGCAAGAACAAGGUGGAGCUUCAAGAACCAUUGCCAUCCUCCAUUUUCUUUACAAUCAAAGGUAAGGGAAGUUUAUGUUUUUAAGUAGGAUUGAGUUAUAGAAUAAAGGAGUAGCUAAGCUUCUCUUUCCCAAGUAUUCUAUGAUUCUCCUUAGGAGAGGGUUUUUUGAGAAAACCCAUGAGUAGAGAUUAUGUUUUUAUGCUUUCUCAUUAAUAAUCCAUGUUGUUGUUAUUAGUUAGUAGUGAUUUAUACAAUAAAAAUUCAUGCUUGAACGGUUGAAGUUGUUAUGUUUGAAUAAAUUGAAAGUAUGAAUUUUGAUUGAUAAUUUCAUGAAUUGGUUGUUGUUUUGUUGUUAAUUUAAGUAUGCUGAGUUAGGAUUAAUGAGAACUAANNNNNNNNNNNNNNNNNNNNNNNNNNNNNACAUAUGAAUCCAUUUAUGUGAGUUUUGGGGGUUAUGGGAUACUAUGAUAGUGGGUUAUAGUCAUGGUAAAUUGUGGUGUGAAUCUACUCAAUUUUUGUGAGAUGAUUUGUUUGAGUCGGUGUUUUGUUCGUUAUAUUGAAAAGAUGAUGGUGAUGAAUAUAUGAAUGAAACUAAAUUAAUGUGUUAGUUAAUGUAUUUAAUUGAUAAACUUUAUUUGUGAGUUUGUUGAUGAAGUUUCAUUGACGUGGAUUAUCGAUGAAUUUUAUUCGUGUACUAAAUGAUGAAUUUUAUUGGUGUAUGAAUUCUUUUGGUGUAUUAGUGAUGUGUUCGUGCGUAUGAACAAUGACGGUGUUUCGUGCUUAUGUACAAUGACGAGGUGUGAUUGUUCGUGAAUAUAAAUUGGAUGUUCAAUUUAUUGAUGAUGAUAAAUAAGGAUUUAUCAUGUGUGGGUGUAUUCUAAAGACGAUGAUUUAGAAUAUUUGGAUUAUGUUAAUCCAUAUUAUGUUGAUGUUAUAAUAGAGAUAAAACCAUAUGUUUGGUAUAUGCACAUUCAUGCAUUCAUAAGUUGUGUUUAUUGAUGAGUAUUCUAGAGACGAUGAUCUAGUUUACUGUUGUUUUAGAGACGAUGAUCUAAAACAUUUGGAAUAAGUUUUCCAAAAUUAUGAUGAUGGGUACCACAUGCAUAUAGGUCGUGUCUAGGGAGACAUUGCAUACUUAAUUUCAAUAGAUGAAAUAUUGUGUGACUGAUAAAUUGUUGAUUGAUGUUUGCAUAAUUGCGCACUAAAUGAUAAGUGAUGAUUUGUGGGUGUUAAUUGGUGGAUGCUAAAUGAUGUGUAGUGGUGAGUUGGAUAUUUAGUAAUAUAUCUCCGAUAUUCCAAGNNNNNNNNNNNNNNNNNNNNNNNNNNNNNNNNNNNNNNNNNNNNNNNNNNNNNNAUGAAUUAUUAACGUGAUAUAAUCAUGUUUAUACCUUGUUGUAUAUUUCCUAUUUUUUUUGCUUAUUGCAUAAACUCACCCUGUUUUGUGUUAUGUGUUACGUGUGGACUCUUGGGAGUCCAGGUUUUCCAGGUUGUUGAGUCUCGUGUGCUUGAGUUCUUGAUGAAGCUCCGCUCUGUUUGUGACACGGGAAAGAGUUCAUAGAGUCAUUUACUCUGUCAUUUUAUUUUUAAUUUAAAAUGUUUUCUUUUUAGAAAAGAAAAAUAUUUUUAUUAGUGAUGCUUAUGCUAAUUUAUUUUCAUUAGCAAUGUAUGAAGAAAAAUGUAAUACCUUAAACCAAUAUUUUCAUAAGUUAUUUUGACUCAAAGCCUAUUUAUUAUUUAUAACCGCUACGUAAUUUUGAAAAGCAUUCUUGAAUUAGAGUAACUUUUGAAUAUUGGGUUUAGGGCGUUACAAUU